rfam:Brassica oleracea var. oleracea cultivar TO1000 chromosome C2, whole genome shotgun sequence
GUCCCUUUGGGGUCAUACGAUAAAAUUAAAAUGAUACAUAGAAGAUUAGUAUGAACUAUUCAUAAGCAUGACAUGCACAAAUCGAGAAAUAGUCCAAUUUUUU